GAUGAACGCUGGCGGCGUGCUUAACACAUGCAAGUCGAACGAAGCACCUUGAUUUGAUUCUUCGGAUGAAGAUCUUGGUGACUGAGUGGCGGACGGGUGAGUAACGCGUGGGUAACCUGCCUCAUACAGGGGGAUAACAGUUAGAAAUGACUGCUAAUACCGCAUAAGACCACAGUACCGCAUGGUACAGGGGUAAAAACUCCGGUGGUAUGAGAUGGACCCGCGUCUGAUUAGGUAGUUGGUGGGGUAACGGCCUACCAAGCCGACGAUCAGUAGCCGACCUGAGAGGGUGACCGGCCACAUUGGGACUGAGACACGGCCCAAACUCCUACGGGAGGCAGCAGUGGGGAAUAUUGCACAAUGGGGGAAACCCUGAUGCAGCGACGCCGCGUGAGCGAUGAAGUAUUUCGGUAUGUAAAGCUCUAUCGACAGGGAAGAAAAUGACGGUACCUGACUAAGAAGCACCGGCUAAAUACGUGCCAGCCGCCGCCGUAA
rnacentral:rRNA from 1 species